CCUACGGGUGACAGCAGUGAGGAAUAUUGGUCAAUGGACGAGAGUCUGAACCAGCCAAGUAGCGUGAAGGAUGACUGCCCUAUGGGUUGUAAACUUCUUUUAUAUGGGAAUAAAAUGUUCCACGUGUGGGCUUUUGUAUGUACCAUAUGAAUAAGGAUCGGCUAACUCCGUGCCAGCAGCCGCGGUAAUACGGAGGGUCCGAGCGUUAUCCGGAUUUAUUGGGUUUAAAGGGAGCGUAGGUGGGUUGUUAAGUCAGUUGUGAAAGUUUGCGGCUCAACCGUGAAAUUGCAGUUGAAACUGGCAGUCUUGAGUACAGUAGAGGUAGGCGGAAUUCGUGGUGUAGCGGUGAAAUGCUUAGAUAUCACGAAGAACUCCGAUUGCGAAGGCAGCUCACUGGACUGCAACUGACACUGAGGCUCGAAAGUGUGGGUAUCAAACAGGAUUAGAUACCCGAGUAGUC
rnacentral:rRNA from 1 species